UGGGGAAUCUUGGACAAUGGGGGCGAACCCUGAUCCAGCCAUGCCGCGUGAGUGAUGAAGGCCUUAGGGUUGUAAAGCUCUUUCACCGGUGAAGAUAAUGACGGUAGCCGGAGAAGAAGCCCCGGCUAACUCCGUGCCAGCAGCCGCGGUAAUACGGAGGGGGCUAGCGUUGUUCGGAAUUACUGGGCGUAAAGCGCACGUAGGCGGACCAGAAAGUUGGGGGUGAAAUCCCGGGGGCUCAACCCCGGAACUGCCUCCAAAACUAUUGGUCUAGAGUUCGAGAGAGGUGAGUGGAAUUCCAAGUGUAGAGGUGAAAUUCGUAGAUAUUUGGAGGAACACCAGUGGCGAAGGCGGCUCACUGGCUCGAUACUGACGCUGAGGUGCGAAAGUGUGGGGAGCAAACAGGAUUAGAUACCCUGGUAGUCCACACCGUAAAACGAUGAAUGCCAGUCGUCGGGUAGCAUGCUAUUCGGUGACACACCUAACGGAUUAAGCAUUCCGCCUGGGGAGUACGGUCGCAAGAUUAAAACUCAAAUGAAUU
rnacentral:rRNA from 1 species